rnacentral:rRNA from 1 species
GACGUAGGGCGCAAGCGUUGUCCGGAUUUAUUGGGCGUAAAGAGCUCGUAGGUGGUUUGUCGCGUUGUUCGUGAAAACUCACAGCUCAACUGUGGGCGUGCGGGCGAUACGGGCAGACUGGAGUACUGCAGGGGAGACUGGAAUUCCUGGUGUAGCGGUGGAAUGCGCAGAUAUCAGGAGGAACACCGGUGGCGAAGGCGGGUCUCUGGGCAGUAACUGACGCUGAGGAGCGAAAGCGUGGGGAGCAAACAGG